AACGCACAUUGCGCCCGCUGGUAUUCCGGCGGGCAUGCCCGUUCGAGCGUCAUUUCAAUCUCUUCCCAGGAGGGAGUCCCUGUGGAAACAGGGGUUCCUGCCAGGGGCGUUGGCACCAGGCGCCGCCCAGGCGGCUGGAGCCCAAAUGCAGUGGCGGACGCGCAGGCGGCUCCUAGCGUAGUAAAAAGCAACUUUUGUUUUACUUCUCGCUCAGGAGGCUCGCGGCGGCGGACCACAGCCCCACGCAAAGCUUUUUUUUUUUUUUGCAACAAAAACUUGACCUCGGAUCGGGUAGGACUACCCGCUGAACUUAA
rnacentral:misc_RNA from 1 species